ensembl:snRNA U6 U6 spliceosomal RNA
GUACCCACUUUGGGAGUACAUGUACAAAAAUAGGAGUGAUGCAGAGAAAUUACUAUAGACCAUGAGCAAGAAUGACAUGCAAAUUCGUGAAAUGUUCCUAAUUUUU